AUACGGAGGAUGCGAGCGUUAUCCGGAUUUAUUGGGUUUAAAGGGAGCGUAGGCGGGAGCUUAAGUCAGCGGUUAAAUGGUGCGGCUCAACCGUGCCCUGCCGUUGAAACUGGGUUUCUUGAGAGUGCAAGAGGCGGAUGGAAUUCAUGGUGUAGCGGUGAAAUGCUUAGAUAUCAUGAAGAACUCCGAUUGCGAAGGCAGUCCGCUGGGGCACGUCUGACGCUGAUGCUCGAAGGUGCGGGAAUCAAACAGGAUUAGAUACCCUGGUAGUCCACACGGUAAACGAUGAUUACCCGCUGUCGGCGGCAGACAGUCGGCGGCCAAGCGAAAGCGAUAAGUAAUCCACCUGGGGAGUACGCCGGCAACGGUGAAACUCAAAGGAAUUGACGGGG
rnacentral:rRNA from 1 species